UACACAGAGAAACUCUGUCUUGAAAAACAAAACAAAAAACAAAAACAAAAACAAAAAAACCCCAAAAAACCCAAAAACCAGUUCUUAAAGUAAUAAGAUAUUUUAACGUGUUCCUUAAAAAUCAGCUAAUAUUACAAAAAUGAGAAAGAAUAGAAAUAUCAUUAUCUUUAAAGACAGGCCUUUUUUCCAUCAGUGAAGAUCUUUUACUGAUAAGUGUGCUGUGCGCUGAGAAAUGGAAAGAGGCAUGUGGUUUGUCAGUACUGUAUAGAAGCUACAUCAAGAACCUUAACACUGCAGGGAUGGGUAUCUUCCUAAGGCUGUACAGAGCUUGAGUUGGAAAUGAACAUGUGCUUUGUGGAAAUUUGUCAGAUUUCCUUUUGCUGUUCCUAGUGAGUGAACUAUAGCUGAAUAUAUGACUUCAGACACCUUUGCUCCUUCUACAACUUUCUUGUUGAUAGUUCUUUGUGUAUUUUCUUUUUUUUUUUUCUUUUUUCUUUUUGUUCUGUUGCUAUUUUAGGCAUUAAUUUGGCUGUUUUAGAUGAUUGCAAGGAAUCUACCUUUGUUCCUCAGAUCUGCAUCUCUGUGUUUCCGGGCAAACUUACAUAUAAACCUUACAUUGCACAGUGCUAGUGUCUGGGCCUAAUCUUCUCUUUGAAGUUUGUUUGCACCCCCCUGGAGGGAUUAAAUCCCUGCUGUGAGAAGGUGGGCUAAAAAGCACUGCGACCACUUUAAUGGGUCUUUAAUUGAAAGGUUUAGUAUACAUUUGUUCUAUAAAUGUCUGUGAGAGUUCAAUUCUUACAAUUUUUGCUUACAUUGUCAUAGAUUUUUGUUGUAAAUAAAAAAAUGUAUAUAGUAAAAUUUUUCUCAAGGCAUUUAAUAUUUACUGGCAGAUUAUUCUGGUGUAUGUGUUUUGACUGUUCAUCUUUAAAACUUUAGCAUCUUGUUUAGCUUGUAUAAAAUUUUUUUAAUUUUUGAAAGGUUAUAAAGACCAUUUAAUAAUAGCUGUCAUUAAUAUUUUGGUAUACUUGUUUCUUUAUAAUCUGUGUGUGUGUGUAUGUAGAUAAAGUAAAUAACCAUUUUUCUAAACUUCUCCUAUAUAUGUAUUUUUGUUUCCUUCGAUUAAGGCUUUCUUAAAAAUUAUUAAUAAAUUAAUAAUUAAUUUGUGAAACCAUUUUAGUUGUUAUAAGUUAUUGUACCAAUUGUCUACUUACAAUUAAAUCUUUAUGUGCUUCUAGGGUUCUUUUGUAAAUGAUAGCAUUUUUGUGUAUAAAGCUUGUCAUUUGGGCACCAGAUUUUGACCUUUUAAACAGAAGGUGAAAUCCAGUCAUGAUAAUGAUAAUGAUAAUAAUUCCUGCUUUUGGGAUCAUUGGCGUGCACUGUGCAGUAUGGUGAGGAGUUCAAGGUCUUCCCUUGGUUGUAUAGUGACACCAGCCUGGGUUACAUGAGAUCCUGACUCCAAACCACAGAGUCAAAAAACCCCAAAUAAAACACUAACAAAUAAAACUCUAAACAACCUACUCCCUUAAAAUUGGUAUGUUUUGAGUAGAUUUUUGGUAUAUUUUGUUAUAUAUUUUUAAUGCUUUCUAAUUGGCCAGUUUGCUGGAAAACUCAUACUUCCAUAAGGCUUCCAAGAUAGGCAUCCCACACUGCAGAAGCACCCAACACUGAAUUUAGGCUCUCUUGCAAGAAAUAAUCAGCUUAUCCCAUGAUCAGAUGGUGCUGGGCAUGCAGAAGCUCUGGAAUGCAUUUCCACACAAGUGUCUCAUUACAGUUGGCCUUUCUGAGCCUGCUGCAGGCACUCUGCCUGGGUAGAUGGCUUAGAGUUGGGAGAGUGGCAGUAUCAGGUUUUUUAGGGCUACCCAGCAGAUCAGCUUCCUUUUGCGUGCACUCCCUCUGCAGCAUUUGUAAUGUAUUAGCCCAAUGGCCACUUUUUAAAAAGAUGAGGGUGACAAAGUUGAGAAACUGUUGGGAUUUUGUGAAAGCAGUGUUAGUCACAAUGCUUUGGGAAGCUGACUUGUUCAGUUACCCAGGUGUUAGGCAGCAACCCUAAGAAAAAAAUUCUUCAUUAAAAGUUGCUCACAUUUUUGUUUGAGCAACUUUGUGAAGAACACUGAGACUUUGUCAACUUAAUGAUUUUGAGAAACAGGUCUAUGAUUUAGAACUUCAGCUUUCAUUGCACCAUGAUUGUGGUCUUGGAGUCACAUCUGAAUCUGUGCUGACAACAGAUGCUCCAUAUUAUUAGAG
rnacentral:lncRNA from 1 species